UCGCCCAGCGCCCCUGGUUGAUAACGAGGGUCAGAGCAAGAAGCAGAACUUGCAAGACGGGGGCAGUGACCAGUGAGCGUUAACUGUGUUCUCAGCGCUUUCCACACCUUGCUCCUUCCAUCGGCACAACAGCCCGGGGAUACAGGUCCUGCGGGGCUUAGGAAGGGAGGCGGCACUCAGUCCACGGUGGACCUGCUCAUGGGAGACACGAGAGUAGGUCGACGCAUCCGCACGCGACUCCGGGUCGCCUCUCCCUCGUCUUCCUCCGUUGCAGAGACUGAGGAGCCAAGUACUUGUUUAUCUAAUCUCUCUUCUAGAUACAGACGGCCAUGGAUCUGCUUCCAGGACUAGACACGCAGCAACCCCCGCGUGAUCUCGGGCGAGAGCCAGAUGCGGACGGCGGGGCGGUAGCUGAAGUCCCCGAGCUCCCGAUGACAUCAUCGAGUGCCAUUCCCAGGUAUGACCUGCCUGCUUCUGCGCGUCUUAUUAUGAGAAAAAUGACCCCAGCUUGUUUAAGCCACCGUUGUACUCAGGACCCCAUGGCUUGAAUAGAUUCUGACAUUCUCCUUCAUGAACAACAGCAGCUACGCAAGCAGUGCCGUGUUACGAGGCAAGAAAAGAAAAUUACGGGCGCAAAGAAGAGAAACACCCCCAGAGAGGGGCAGGGUUUGAGCUGACCCUGACGGACCCACGGGGAUCCCUGAGACGCAGAGGCAGGAGGGGCCCAGGCGGGAGGAACAGCAGGUGCAGACGCGAGGCCUCCAGAGUGCGGCGUGGAAACCACCAGAACCCGGA